CCUACGGGAGGCAGCAGUGAGGAAUAUUGGUCAAUGGACGAGAGUCUGAACCAGCCAAGUAGCGUGCAGGAUGACGGCCCUAUGGGUUGUAAACUGCUUUUAUAAGGGAAUAAAGUUAGUCUCGUGAGAUUUUUUGCAUGUACCUUAUGAAUAAGGACCGGCUAAUUCCGUGCCAGCAGC
rnacentral:rRNA from 1 species